CUAAGUGUCAAAUUUAGUGUAGUCUUUAGGUGGGACGACGUAGAACAACGAGGUAACACAGAGUUCCCCUUUUUGUUGAUAUUUUAAGAUGUCUUCGAGCAAUUAGGCGUAUAAUACAACCGGCAUCCUCGCACAUAAUAUCCGAUUUCUAUCAGGAGAUGAAAAUACAAAACCGAAAGGUGCAACAACACCGAGUGCUCGGUUUCAAAAUAAAACGUUCGAUAAUCGGGACGAGAGAAGAGAGGACGUCGACGAGAAUUGCUCGGGUUUGGUAGAUCUUCCAUUUUUUUUUUUAAUUUUAAAGCCAGGUACACGCACACGAGCGGUUUAAAAACUCGUUUUGUUCAGAUAACAUACACACAGACCGAUUCGGUCUCAUUAUUAAGUGUUUUCUUUACACGAUUUGAGGUGUAUUAUCGUAUCGACGUAGGCGCAGCAGGUAUACGUUUUUAAAACGUUUAUUAUAUUCGAUCGACAGAUGGUAUGGUGAAGGAUGGAAUUAUUUAGUAGCACACACCCUCUUGGUAUUUUUUGAAUGGCCCUAGAAAGAGACAGUUUUGUUCUAUGUAUUUGAAAUUGGAUUGAGCAAGCCAACAACCAUACAUCCAUAGCAUGUAUACCUCUAGUGGUGUUAUCAGCAAAUAAUGAAAAUUGGCUGCUUAUAUAAGAAAAAUCCCUUUAAGCAAGGAAAUAUUCCAAGUUUUCCCCUUGGAGAAACUCAACAAGAAAAUUAUAUGAAGUUCUUCCAGGCAGUUCAAUGUUUCCAGACUCUUCAACAU
rnacentral:lncRNA from 1 species